GAGAUCGUAACUCAGUGGCUAGAGUGCUUGCAUCAUACGCAAGAAGUUGGGGUUCAAGUCCCUCCAAUCCCA
rnacentral:tRNA from 1 species